UUUUCUAUUAUCGUUUUCUCAGACUUCAAAGAUUCGAGUGUGAAACCUUCGGCGGGCACACGCCCACUUUCGCCGACGGUGGUUAAACCAACGUCCCGCCGAAGCAACAGGUAAAACAACAUGGUGUGAGAGUACCGCGUCAGAGACGCGACCUCGGUAAUGAUCCUUCCGCAGGUUCCUGAGACAAGUUAGUAUUGAGUAAACUUCGUUGAAUUCGGCUUGUAUAACUUACACCUACGGAAA
rnacentral:misc_RNA from 1 species